rnacentral:lncRNA from 1 species
AUCAGAAGCAGGCAUAGGCUUGGAUGCCAUCAACGAUGCUCUGCUUCUGGAAGCCUCCAUCUACCGCCUGCUGAAGUUCUACUGCAGGGAGCAGCCCUACUACCUGAACCUGCUGGAGCUCUUUCUGCAGAGUUCCUUUCAGACUGAGAUGGGGCAGACUCUCGACCUCAUCACAGCAUCCCAGGGCCAUGUGGAUCUUGGCAGAUACACUGAAAAGAGCAGGAGCAUGCCAAUGCCCUGAAGAUCCUACUGGAG